AUUUGAAACUCACAGCCCCGCUGCCGCUCGGCUCCCCGGGCAAAGCCUGACAUCUACAGUCGUGCCGGGCGCAGGCCGGGUUGCUCGGCGGCGACCGCGCCCGCCCGCCCGCAGGGACCCGGGGACGCACAGGGACGCGCGGGACCCGGGCGCUCAGCUGCGCUCGCUCCGCUUGGGGCGCGGGCCUUGGGGCAGGCCGGGGGUCCCGCGCACCCGCCUGGGGCCAGGAACCCUCGCCGCUCGGCCUGCGCCGCCCCGGGAACCGGCCCCGGCGGGAACAAAGCCCAGGCCCUCCCGGAGGCGCUGACCCCUCGCUCAUCAAAGGUCAGGGGCCGGCCUAGAAUCGGGCGAGAAGAAAGGGACGCGCCCUCGGCCACUAAAAGGAGCCUGAGGCCUCCGAACCGGAGCCAUCGCUCCCUGGGCCCCGUCCACGUCACAGCCAGGCCACUCAAGCAUGGGGACAGGAGCCAAUGUGGACAGGAAUUUAUUGGAAACACACACCCAUCCUAUUAACUGCUUUACAGAGCACUUCUGUUUUUCAGUUGCAGAAACUUAUAAAAACAUCCCCCUGCUCUCCGUUGAGAGUUUAAGGAUAGUUUUUGAGGCCAGAGAAAGAGAAAAGGAGAGAUCACUAGAAAGAUAGGAAGAAAAGAAGUGGGAAGAAAAGGAGAUGCAGUCUACCAUGUAAGCCUCCAGGCUCCUUAGCCUCACCUUAUAAAGCCACAUCACCGCAGAGAUAGCAAAGAUCGUGCCCUUUCCCAGGGAGUUCCUACCGCCAGGGUAAGAUUUAAAGCGGCCACCCCAGUUGGUCAAAGUGAUUGCUGGGCGCCUUUCUAUCUCCCCAAGUUCACCUUUUCCAGUUGGUCAAAGCGAUUGCUGGGCGCCUUCUAUCUCCCCAAGUCCACCUUUUUCCAUUCUCAUCUGAAAGCCAGCCCCAAAGAAAUCUCACCGGAAGUCCUCUGUCCUCCCUGUCAGAAUCCCACCCUCAGUCUGAAUUUACUCCCGAUUCUCACAGCACAGAAAGGCACCUGCUUUUACCCUUUCUGAAAACCACCCACCCAGGCUGGCCUUACAGCCUGGAGAGUCUUUUCCUCGGGCACAAUAAUGAACCAUGCAAGUGUUAGAAAUAUAAUCAGCUCAUGAGGCGAAGAGCAGUAUGUAUGGAAUUGUAUUAGCAUGAGGCACACACUGACUCGGGAGAAAAAGGGAUGCUUAGCUGGUGAAAACCAUCACAUCCCCGUAUAGAAGGCUUUUUGCACAAUGUAAGUUGGGUUCAGAUUAAUGUAAGUAUCUAACCUGUUGGGUACAGACAGCCCCUUUCUACAUUUUAGUCCAGAAUAGAUUCUGGGGAAAUUUAUUUAUUUAUUUAUUUAUUUCAGCUAAGGCCCUGGGAGAAAAGACUGCCUCCAGGGAAUCAUGUCCGAUUAGGGACAAAGGAGGGCACAAGCCCAAUUCAGUCACACGUGAGAGCACGGGGGCCGGGUGGGGGGAGUUAAGAGCCAACAGGGAAGGUGGAGGAUGAGUUUGCAAACCAGACUAUGGUCACUGCAGAGCUGCUUCCAGACCACCUGACUUCAGGCCCAAGAACAGGUGGUGUUUUCAAAACACACUGUUAUUUAUAUUGGCCAUAUAAGUUGAGAACACCUUAAAGAAAACAAUUAAUAAUUUAAUUGAAAAAGUGACUAUGAAUAAGACAUGAAGAUGACGUAUGCUAGCAGGACCGCAAGCAACGUGGCCCACAACGCAGAGAUGCCUCUGGCAAUCUCUCCGGAAAAACGAAGAUUCCUUACCUGGGAUAGGGGACAACCUCGUAAUCUGGUGACAUCAUGAUCCUGCUACACACAUGAUGAGGCCUAGUCAAGCCUGCCUUUGUUCCAGGCAAAAAUUUAACAGCUCUGGAAGCCCUGGCUCUUCGGAGGGCAGCUGCCUGAUGUUAAACCCAUGGCCUACCCAGCAGUGACAGCCUGACAUUCUCAUCGCUCCAUCCUGAACACUGCUGACAAAUAAACCCACUCUCAGAAAAGGCAAUUCUUCCCUCGCAGUUCUCCAUACCCAGUCUCGUCUCAUCUGGAAAGCGUAAUUGGCAACAGCCGAAAGGAUAAAUAUUUAAAAAUAAAUCAGGGAGCGCUAACCCCUUCCCUACUCCUCCCCUUACCCACUCUCCAAGCCAGAGGCCUGCCCCCUAACGCUGAGCUGGCUGGUAAAUUACAAUGAUUCUACCGAGCCAAACCUGCUUGUCUCUCUCUUUCUCUACACAUACACACUUACUAAUGCUGUAUCCUUCCACUUUUGCAAAGGUAAAUAUGAUCUCUAAGAUACAGUGGAUGUCAGCAUUCUGACUUCCAGCGUAACCUGGGCUCUCUUUUCACAGUACAGCGGGUUUAGACAGAUUUGUGCACCCUUCCGGGUUCUUCUAUUUUUAUUAAAUUAUACGUAUACAUUGAUUUUUAAAACUAGUGCUUAAAUAACCCGGAGGCUUUAACAAAGAAAAAUCCAGAAGAGGGCAAGAAACAAAAACAAACGUUCCUGAAAUAAACAAGGAACCAUU
rnacentral:lncRNA from 1 species